rnacentral:rRNA from 1 species
UGCCAGCAGCCGCGGUAAUACGAAGGGGGCUAGCGUUGUUCGGAAUCACUGGGCGUAAAGCGCACGUAGGCGGAUUUGUAAGUUAGGGGUGAAAUCCCGGGGCUCAACCUCGGAACUGCCUUUGAUACUGCAAGUCUAGAGUCCGAGAGAGGUGAGUGGAAUUCCUAGUGUAGAGGUGAAAUUCGUAGAUAUUAGGAAGAACACUCAUGGCGAAGGCGAGUUACUGGACAUUUACUGACGCUGAGGCUCGAAGGCUAGGGUAGCGAAAGGGAUUAGAUA